CUUUUUAUAAAAAAUCAUGUGUUACAAUUGAGAGCAGAAGUUAUAGCAUGGAACAUUCUCCAAGUAAAGUGCAAAAAACAUUUCUUCACAGUUCCAAUUAAUGUCUUAUGUUUUGUUCAGACUCACUAAAUGAUGUAUUUCAGGGUACAUCACGUGGGAAUAUAAGAAGACUAUUCAGAGCAGGAGCUGCAGAGCAAGAUGAACGGCAUGAGAAGGUCAGCUGGUGCUGGAAGCGGCCGGUAUCUGAGUAGGAAUGAAGGUGAGUGCAGGAGCAGCUGCUGAGGGGAGGAAGGAAGUCCAUGCUAAUGAGCUCUGAAGCAUCUGCGGGUCCGGUACCAGAAUAGGCAGCAGUGAUGCUGGAGGGCACGUGGAGGGCAGGUGGCAAUCCUCACGGAGCAAGGCCUGCAAAUGGGGUUUGUGGAGGAAGGUCCUGCAGGCCUUGUGUGACACCCACGGAGCUGCAGCGAGGCUGCAUUGGUGUAAAACAAGGGAAAUGCACAGAGAUCUGAAGGUGGGUUUUGGGCUCGACUUAUGCCGGAGGGGAUGUGCGUGCUCCUUUACAUAUGCGUUGUCUGCCUGCUGUAGGUGGGUUGGCUUAGAAAGCUGGUACCGUGUUUCUGUUGUCGGGAGAAGCGGAUAUCAACUCUUCUCUCUAUUGAAAGAUUUAACAAAAGAGCCUCUCCUUGCUUCUUAGCGUAUGAAUCACAGAAUCAUAGAAUCACCAGGGUUGGGAAAGACCUAAAAGAUCAUCCAGUCCAACCGUUCUCCUAUUA